UUUUUUCCUCUCCCCCCCCCUUCCCCAAUUUUUAAAGCCUUUUUUCCUAUUUUUUCCUGCCUUUUUUCCCUUUUUUAAUGCCUUUUUUUUUUUGUUUUUUUUAACAUAUAUUUUUGUCCUGCAGUCCAAACCCAACGCGAAGGGAAAGGAGGGGAAGAGAAAUCAAAUGGGAAGAGAAUAGCUCCAAGUCGGCAGGACAAUGCACGGGAAACGGGGAGAUUAGCGUAGCUCUCGAAAUCCAUCACGCCCGCCCCGUUUCUGAACCGUUCGCCCCCGCGCUUCGUCUUUUUUAAUUCUCCCAGCUCCUGAAUUAUUCCAGUCCACGAGCGGGAGGGGAGCGCACAGUCCGGAGUCCCUCAGAGCUGCCAAGAGCAUUGCAACAGGAAAGAAAGGAAGCAGGAGAGGGAGAGCCAGGCAGAGCCCUCACAAUCGAGCAGCGAGAAGAGCAAGGAAAAAUUAACAUCCAAUUAGUGCCGUGUUUAACGAGGGAGACAGAGGCGGCUGUUGUUUUAUUGCCCUGUUCUUUUCAGGCGCAUCUGACAGGCAGCAGGGAAGGCACCCCUGCUCCGAGUGACGUCAUCAUAUUUUAUUUUUUAAUUAUUUCCCCCCCCUUCCCCUCCUCCCCCGUCUUUCUUCCUCUAAGUUUCGCACAGACCAUCUCGGCAACUCGGCCAGGGAAAUUCGGGACUUUCUCGCAUUCAAGGCACCAGCUCCCCCCCUCCACCUCCAGCCUCCCCCCUUCCACCGAUAGUAACCAUGAAAAAAACAACAGCGCCAACCCACCCCAAAGUCUUUGUUCUUCCAAAAAGAAAAGAAAAAAAAAGGAGGAAAGGAAAAAAAAAAAAAAUCAGCGUUGGGAUGAGAGCUGGAGGGAGGCUGGAGGAGAUUUCCCCGCGUGUGCGUCCGGGUGUGUGCGUGCGGCGCUCGGUCCCUCUCCCGUCCCUCUCCCCAGACGCUCGCUCGCCUUGUAAAACUUUGCUGCAUGUGACGCUGCUCCGGCCUCCUCUGGCAGCCUGACAAGAGCCGCCCGGCCGCAGAGCGCAGGCGGCUUUUCAGGGAGAAACUCCAUUCCGAGCCAUGGGAGCAUUGCCGUGUUUGCAGCGAGGGCCAGCGCCUCCAGCCAGGGCCGCAAUACCGACCCUGCCGGCCUGGGGUCACAGCAGGGGGACAGGGAACGAGUGUGAAGCUGGGGAGACGUUCCCCCUCCUGUUCCUCCCCUGGAAGGGGGGCCCAGCGCCGUGAAUUAUUUGCCUACGUGGAGCUCGGCGCUGCGGGAGAACAGAGCAAACAGCCUUAUCGAGGGCAGCUGUGCCACAGGGCACUUCCUCAUGCGUGGCUGCGAGAUGGGGCCCUCCAUGGCUGCGGGGGAGGGCUGGCAGCCCCUGGCCUUCCCACUGACCAGACACCAGGGAGACACCAGGCACCAUCCAGGCAUCGGGAGAGCUCUCUGGGAUGCUUCCCUCCCUGCUCCACGGCGGGAGAGAAGCACAGCCAGGAAGGGGUUUGGACUGAGCUGAAGGGUCAUCAGCAGGACGGCUCUGCAGGGGAAGGGGGAGGAUGGAACAGUCGCUCUGAGCUCAGCUGCACUUCCCUGGGCACAAAAGCUCAUCUCGCUGCUUCCCAGAUCCUGCCAGACUCGAGCAUCCAAGCCCAGUGGAGAGACAGACCAGCCUUGACCUGAGAUUCCCUCUCCUGGCUGCUGUCGCUACCUCCCUUCUCCCCCGGGCAGCUGGGAGCAGAUGAGGCCAAAGUCCCGGCAAUCUGAGUUUUCCACUGGAGGCUGAUAAACGGCGCGGGCACGGAACGGCAGCGAUCCCCACCCAGCCUGGCUUUGUGCAGGAGAGUCAAUAUUUAAACCAGAGCUUGUUUCCUGGGCAGACAGGGGAGUGCCAGUGGGAGAAACUCCCGGCUCCAUCCCGGGCGCCAGACCCAAACCUCCUCCUCCACCCCUUCAUUUGUUCUCCCGACCACAUGUUCCAUCCUGGAUCCCCUCUCCUAUGGGAAUGGGACCCCAUCCCCUUCAGCUGGGAUACCUGAGCACCAGCUGCAGGGCCAGGCACUGACUAAUGGGUAGCAAUUUAAGGGAAAAGGAUGCUCAGCCAGCGUUUUGGUUGUCUCAUUGCCUGCUCCUGGUGCAGACAUUUGUCCUUGUGGUGGGGCCCCCUCAAAUGAAGCACGGGACAAGAAGAAUCAGGGAUAGAAAUAGGAGGUGGGGAAAUACUCAAUCCCAAGAAUGGCAGACCCUUGCUUCAAAGUAAGGCAGUGCACUGAAAGCUCUGAAACCUGGUUUUCAUUUAAAUUGAGCAAAAACUACAGUCAACUGUUGGGUUUUCAGCCAAGUUUGUGGGCCCUGAUGAACUGGGCAGAAAUUACCAGCAGGAUGCAUCCACUGGUGCAGCUUUAGGUAAAUCCCUUAGGUAAAUUCCUUAGGUAAAUUCCUCAAAGGACAGGAAAUGGCACUUUUCCCUGCAGUGGCUGCAGUCAGGCUAUGUAGAGGCUGCAGGAGGUUUUACAGGCAUGUGAGCAGCAGAAGGUGGCUUUAAUUUGGAGGCUAAAGGUACAUGUUUCCUGAGCAGGUGCUAGGUGACCUGGCAGAUGCAAUGCCCUGUGUUGGAGCAAGUCAUAAAACAAGGUGAUAAAAGGCCAGAGGGGAGAGCUGUGAGGGGGAAGAUGGAAUGGCU
ensembl:lncRNA